CUCGAACCAGGGACCCUCUGCACACAUAAACAACUGACACCCCACGAAGCAUCGUUACCCAUCGCGCCACAAAAGCCGCGGCCCUUUGCAACGGGGAAACCCUACUUCAAGUCUCAGAGCGAGUGACGUCACUGAUUGAAACGCUAUUAGCGCGCACCACCGCUAACUAACUAGCCAUUUCACAUCAGUUGCACGUGGACAAGUUUCAUUUCAUUUAUAAUAACGUGUUCAUAUCUCAAAAUAUCAUUGUCGUGUUGUAAAUCAAAAUUCUAUCCAAAUCUAAAUGAAAAUAAUACAAACCUAAAAAGUAACUUUUAUUGCCAAAUAUGGUAAAAAAAGAAUACAUAAAGCCAACCAAUCAAAACAUUGCAACCUGCAGAUAGAGAAAAAAAAAAUCCUGAUUUAAAAAAAAUCCUAUAAAUCACAUUGGCUACAUAUGGCCUGUCUGCAACAAACUGGACACAUUGUAUAAAAUAUUAACUUGAGUCCGACCAAGCAAAUUUAUAACAUUGUAUUAAAAUAUUCUGGGCCUUUAAGAGUUUCCCGACAGGCUGUUGGUUCUUUGAGCAAAGUGGAUAAGAAGCAGUGCUUGACUUGGCCAGGAGCUGAGGUGGCACGUACCUGACCAGUAGAAGGGGUUAUUUGUUAUUGUAGUUUGUUCAGGACGUGGCAGGGGGUGUUUGUUUUAUGUGGUUCGGGGGUUUGUUGGGAUAUGUGUUUAUGUAAGAGGGGUGUUUGUUUAGAGUAUUCCAGGGUUUUUGGUUAUUGUUCUAUGUUUUGUAUUUCUAUGCUCUGUCUAUGUUGUGUAUUUCUUUGUGUUGGCCUGGUAUGGCUCUCAAUCAGGAACAGCUGUACAUCGUUGUUGCUCAUUGGGAGUCAUACUUAGGUAGCCCUGUUUUCACCUGUCAUUGGUGGGAAGUUGUUUUUGCAUUGCUGUGUGUAGCCUGCAAGACUGUUUGUCGUUCGUUCGUUCGUUUUCUUAUUUAGUUAUUUAGUGUUAAAUAAAAGUUUAAUAUGAGCAC
rnacentral:lncRNA from 1 species